rnacentral:rRNA from 1 species
CCCUUAGAUGUUCUGGGCAGCACGCGCGCUACAAUGGUCUUCGCAAACGGAUGCAUUCUCGAAGGAGAAUGCCAAUCUUGGAAUCUAUGCCUUGGUCGGGACAGUUGCUUGCAAUUUUUCGACUCGAACCAGGAAUUCCUUGUAAUCGUGAUUCAUCACAUCACGAUGAAUACGUCCCUGCCCUUUGUACACACCGCCCGUCGCUCCUACCGAUCGAAGAGUUAGGUGAAUUGUUUUGAUCGAUAAGAUUUGACUAUGGUCAACUCUCGUUGUGAAAUUCUGUGAAUCUGACUGUUUAGAGGAAGGAAAAGACGUAACA